ACGAACGCUGGCGGCGUGCCUAAUACAUGCAAGUCGAGCGGAAUGAUGAAGAAGCUUGCUUCUUCUGAUUUUAGCGGCGGACGGGUGAGUAACACGUGGGCAACCUACCUUGUAGAUUGGGAUAACUCCGGGAAACCGGGGCUAAUACCGAAUAAUCCAUUUUGCUUCAUGGCGAGAUGUUGAAAGACGGUUUCGGCUGUCACUAUAAGAUGGGCCCGCGGCGCAUUAGCUAGUUGGUAGGGUAAUGGCCUACCAAGGCGACGAUGCGUAGCCGACCUGAGAGGGUGAUCGGCCACACUGGGACUGUGACACGGCCCAGACUCCUACGGGAGGCAGCAGUAGGGAAUCUUCCACAAUGGACGAAAGUCUGAUGGAGCAACGCCGCGUGAGUGAAGAAGGUUUUCGGAUCGUAAAACUCUGUUGUAAGGGAAGAACACGUACGAGAGUAACUGCUCGUACCUUGACGGUACCUUAUUAGAAAGCCACGGCUAACUACGUG
rnacentral:rRNA from 1 species